AAUCUACUAUUAAGAGCUUGGAUUUCAGGAUCGAACUCAAUACCUCCAGUGAAAUCUUUCAUGAAAUCCGGCAAUUGAAUAACGGGUUUGGGCUCAUCAUCAGCCCACCUUGACUUCCUCUUUCUUCCGGUCCCACUCCCAUCACCGCCGCCGGUCCCAUCAUUGGUUGAUUCAGUGGGAGGUGGGUCCCAACGGCUCCUCCGUCUCCUUCUACUGCUGGUUUCUUCCUCACCGCCUGAUUGGUCCCUGUCGGUGCCGCUGUGAGUGUUUGUCAACCCGUUUUCCGACAAUAAGGGCCUCUGAAUCUCGCGCUUCAGAGUGAA